AGGGAAGNGAACCCGCAGGGGGAGCAAAUCCAGAAAUAACGUCCCAGUUCGGAUUGUAGUCUGCAACCCGGCUACAUGAAGCUGGAAUCGCUAGUAAUCGCGGAUCAGAAUGCCGCGGUGAAUACGUUCCCGGGUCUUGUACACACCGCCCGUCACACCAUGGGAGUCGGAAAUGCCCGAAGUCUGUGACCCAACCUCAGGGAGGGAGCAGCCGAAGGCAGGUCGGAUGACUGGGGUGAAGUCGUAACAAGGUAGC
rnacentral:rRNA from 1 species